rnacentral:lncRNA from 1 species
AACUGUUGUGGUUUACUGCCAAGUUCUGUAACUGCGAGCAAUUCAUGAGUUCUGGAGGAAUGGAGCUGUUGAGCUGAUUAUAACCAAGAUUCAAAGAGGUGAGGUUGGUUAAAUAACCAAUUGUUGGAGGAAUGGGUCCAAUUAGGUUGUUCCUAUCAAGAGACAGAGAAUCAAGAUACUUCAGAUUUCCGACUUCUCGAGGCAGCAGACCACUUAGUUGGUUUGAAGAAAGAUCUAGAGAUGUUAAGUAGGUUAAAUUUCCUAUGGUCGGUGGAAUUGGACCAUCAAGUCUGUUGUGAGACAAGCGCAACUCAUCCAACAAGUUUAAAAAACCAAUGGUCGAAGGAAUAGGUCCAGUGAGAUUGUUCCUAUUUAGAAGCAGAGAAUCAAGAUUCUUCAGAUUUCCAACUUCUUUAGGCAGUGGACCAACAAGAUUGUUGUAAGCCAAGUACAAAGUACUUAACUGAUUUAAAUGAUAAAGCGUUGAAGGAAUAGGCCCAGUUAGAUUGUUAUUAUCCAGAAACAGAGACACAAGAUUCUUCAGAUUUCCAACUUCUUGAGGCAGCCGACCACUAAGUUGGUUUAAAGAAAGGUCCAAAUGUGUCAAGUUAGUUAAAUUACCUAUGCUCGAUGGAAUUAGACCAUCCAGUUUGUUGCCCUGCAACCUCAGGUCAUAAAGAUCCUUCAAAUUCCCAAAUUCUAAUGGGAUAGAACCAUUGAGAAUGUUAUAAGACAGAUUCAGUUCGAGAAGAUCCCUCAAACUCCCGAUCUCUGAAGGGAUAGUACCUAUCAUAUAUAUAUAUAUACAUGCAAAUGAUUAAUUAAUGAUAAAUGAGCAAUAUUAUCCAGUACCGAUAGGAAAUUAUUGUAUAUGCAAUGAAAUUAUAUAUAAUAGUUACCUGUAAGACGGUUAUAGGACAGGUCAAGCACUUUGAGUCUUGAAAGAGCACCAGUUUCUGAUGGUAUCCUUCCGGAGAGAAAACGAGUGCCCCAAAUUCUGAAAGUUACGAGGUUGGGAAAGCAAGUGAAGUUGAGUUGGCUAAGCUCUGCUGCGUUGCCAUUAUUAUCCAUCUCGUCAGAACUUAUCUCAACUAUGCUUCCUGCUGAAUUGCAAGUGAUUCCCAUCCACUUGCAAUGAUCUGAAGUAUAGUUGGCCGUCGCCCGACUGCUAUUCCACCAGCCUGAAUUAAGUAAAGCUUCCCUUUCUAACUGUAAGGCUGACGAUGCAUCAGAUGCUGUUAGAACUGCAUUAUCAGUUAUAACAGGAACAAUAAUACUGCUUAUAAAAGUUAUAAUGACCACCAAUUUUGAAAUGGAGGAAUCCGGUGCCAUUUUUGUAAGUUUUUGGUUGAUUAGAUUCAGCGGGUGCAUGCCUGCUUUUAUAACUAAACAUUAAGUUUGACAGCAACACUCAGGGCCAGUUUGGGAAUGCUGUAACUUUUAAAAUAAUUACUGUUAGCUGUGCUGUAAAAAUAAUCAACUGUGAAGAAAAUCAGUUAAGUGUUUGGUAAAUUUUGUUUCAAGAAGUACUGUGAGUUUUGAAAGCAGUUAUGGACGUUUGGUAAAUUUUACUAUUAAACUGCUGAGAGAAAAUAAAUGACUAAAAUAUCCAUAAUAUAAGAUAAAAUUUACUUAUAUAUAUAAAAACAUGUACAUAUAAUAUUUUUAAUUGUGUAUUAUAAUAAUUUUUACUAAAAAUAAAAUUUAUAAUAUAUUUAUUUUAUUUUUUUAUCUUAAAGCAAUUGAUAAUUAAAUUAAUAAUAUAGUGAAAUAAAUUUAAUAAUAAUUCGACCAAUAAAUUGAUAUUAAUAAAUUUAUAUUUAUGAAUUAUAAUACAAAAUUUUUAUAAAUUAUUUUGUUUCCAAUUUGAAUAAGGAUAAUUUUGGAUUUAAAUAAUAAUUUUAAGGAUAUUUAUGGAAUUGUACUAAAUGAUAAAAUUGAUUUUCAAAAUCAGAAUCUAAAAGCUACUACUUCCCUGCUUUUCAAAAUCAGCUGUAGGAGAAGUUGAUUUUGACAAAAGUGAUUUUGAUUUUUUUUUACCAAACACUAAAACUAAUUUUUAGAUUUUCAAAAUCACUUUUAGGUCUCCUAAAAACAAUCCCAAACGGGACCUCAAUCAUUUUUAGCCCGCGUUGAGCUUUCUGCCUCAUCGUCAAAAUUGGCAUGCGCGUUAUCAAACGCAAGAGUCAGUUGAGUUAAUGUCUUUUUAGGCCACUAAUUCCUAUUUUUAAUUAAUUUCUCAAAGUAAAGGCUACAUGUGAUUCAUAUUCUAGCAACUUUCUAUUUCUUUCUUUACUUUUUAGUCCACUUUCCAUUCUCCCAAUUACUUUUCUAGAAUGGAGGAUUAUAUAUAUUCUAGUAACUUUCUUUUUCUUUCUUUUCCUUUUGGAACAUACUUUAUGCCCGAAUUUAGACCCCGACCGAAUUCCACCAAAAUUUUCGCCUUUAUAUGGGUUCAUUUGGGAUUUAUGUUCGGGGCGUAUAGGCAUAGCAUUGCUCUUUACUUUGUGUCGACUUUCCUUCAUCAUCAAAAUAUUCGAUAAUGUCGGGAAAUAUUAAAAUUUGUUCUUAAUUAACAAAGAAUUAAGCCGACUACCAUAUUUCGCCAAAAGUCAAAGGAAAAUUUUCCAUUCUCCGGUACAACAUAUUCUAUAAUUUAUAGUAAUUGUCUAUUUGGUAAUGCGAACGGUUAUUUACACUAAGCAAUAUUUUGAAUAUUUGGAGACCCAAGUCAUACUCAAUGCUAAAAAUAAAAUAAAUAUUUUUUCUUCGUACAGAAAAAAAUAUAAAUUACCAACAUGUGAUAGGAGUUCAUCGAUACUUAUAUCAUUAUCAUCAUCCAAACCUAUAUUUGCAUCGUCAAUUUGUCGAUCUAGAAAUGAGACUAGUACCUAUGUGCUUAAUAAAAAAAAUUAUUAAAAAAAUAUUACCUUUCAAGUAAUACAUUAUUUUGUUGUGUAUUAUAUACUAAAUCAAUGAUGUAUUCUAAAUAGAUGUUCACCCUCAAGUGGUAUCAGAUAUCUUCAUCUAAAAUGAUGUGUCUUAAAAUUUAAUGAGAAAAAUAUACAUAUAUUCUAAGGUUUGGGGAAAUAACAUGCAUGAACCUUACCAUAUAAUAUAACUUUAUGAUCGCAUUUUGGUGGAUAUUAUGUAAUUCAUUAACUUUGUUGUCUAUUAUAUACUAUAUUAAUGAUGAAUUCUAACUAGAUGAAAUUCACUCCCAAGUAGUGUCUGAUAUGGCCAUAUCCAUGUGUCCUAUAACUUUACUGAAACAAAUUUUGGGGAAUUUAAGAAUCUUUUUCUUUUUAUGUUUAGGAAAUUUAAUAAUUCGAAGUAGCUGCCAUUUUAGUUGUGUUUAAAAUUGAUUGUCUUAAAAAUUUGGAAAAUAUAUGGGAAAAUUUUCAAAAUGAUAAAAGGGAUAAUGUAGACUGACACGUUUAAACAUGUGAACUCAUUAGUCGCCAAUUAUUUGAAACGCACGGCCAGGGGAUGCCGUGUGAUUAAACACGUGAGUAGAAAACUUUUCAGGUGACUGGCUUUUUCUGAGCCGACCACAAAUUAAAGCAAAAUUGGAGUCAAGGUCUUGCAGACAAGGAAAAGAAGACGUGUGUGUACUGCGAGUUCACAUUUGAGGGUUGACUGACAAAUUUGUCCCUUGUCAAGCUCGUCAAAGAAGCACCUAUAAAUUUCACUUGAGAAUAUAUAUAUUUUAUAUUUAUCCAAAGUGAAGGAUUUAAUUAAACAAAAUUCAGUCUCACGAAUGUUAAUAUACCGAAAAAAGUUAUACAAAAACCACUAUCAAAAUUUUGGAUAAUCUUGAGAAAUUUUAAAAUUUGUUCUUAAUUAACAAAGAAUUACGCCCAAUACCAUAUUUCGCCAAAUCUCAAAGGAAAAUUUUCCACUUUUCCGGUACAAUAUUUUCUAUAAUUUACGGUAAUUAUUAAUUGGUAAUGCCAAUGGUUUUUUACACUAAACAAUAUUUUCAGACCCAAGUCAUACACAAUGCUAAAACCAAAGUAAAUAUUUUUUUUUCAUUUGUACAGAAAAAAUAUAAAUUACCAAGUUCAUCAAUACUUAUUUCAUUUAUCAUCAUCCGAAUCUAUAUUUGCAUCAUCAAUUGUCGAUCUACAAAAGAGAAAUCAAAGAUGUUAAAAAUAUUUCUAAUAAUAAGAUAAAAAUUAAAUAUAAAGACUAGUACCUAGGUGUUUGAAUUAAAAAUAAUAAUCAUUAAAAAAUAUUACCUUUCAAGUAGUACAUAAUUUUGUUGUGUAUUAUAUACUACGUUAAUGGUGUAUUCCAAAUAGAUGAAACUCACUCCCAAGUUGUGUCCAAUAUGGUGAUAUCCUUGUGUCUUACAAUUCCCAUAGGAUGCUAGAGCCAUAUGGAAGCAUAUAGAAGAUUGAUUGGUCGUGAUUAUUAACACUUUUGACGGUUUAUUCUAUAUACAUGAUCAGCUGAACUUGUUCUCUUUAAUUUUCAUAAAUGCAUUGACACAGUUUUUACUUUUUGAUCAUUGGAUAUCCCUGACUUUAAGUUCAUCGAAUUCUAAACUAGGGAAUGCUGUUUGACUUACAACCAUAAUAGUUAGGAAGGUUAUAACUAGAUGGUCACAAUGGUUUUCAAUCACCGAUUGCUUUCUUACGGAACAGAAAAGAAAGGAAAGAUCAUAACUUCUCCCCCACCAGCUUGUGUUAAUUGUCACUACUUAUUGUGGUUUAUUUUAUUUUUCAAAUCACAUUUGGUGACGGUUUCCAAUUCCACCAGCCGCCGAAAUCAAGGUGUAAUUCUAUUGUUUACAGAAUUUCAUUUCUGUUUACCAUUCAUCCAAGCAAUGUCAUACUUUUUACUUUUCAUAUUCUCAAAGUUCUUCAAAUCUUUUUAUUUCAAAUUGAAUGAAACAUUAAUUCUCAUUGGAUAAUCAACAUAUACUUGUCUUAGAGUCCUCAGGUGGACAACUUUUGGGGUUUUGGGUCCUCAUUUGUUGUACUGAUUGGUUCUUGAGGUAAAUAAAUCCAGGAUUCCUGAUAUUGAACAUUCAAUUUUCAUGUCUGAAACUUCCAAUAUCCAAAUUCACUCAUGCAAUACAACUACUCUAUUUUAAAUCAAUUAGAUGGUUUCAGAUACAGAUUUUGUAUUUCCAACAUAAAAAAUCAUGCAAGCAUUUGAUACCCAAAAGACCAUGAUUGGAUUUUUUCUUCUCCCCUCCUCUCCCCUGUAUUGUCAAGUCAUCCAUAAAUUUUCUGCAAUGUCAGACUGUGCAAAAGGUAAUUUUAUCAGUGUAAGUGCUUGCAUUGUUCAUUUCUUCAGACAGCCAUUUACUAUGUCCAACAAUUCAUGCUGUGUUCACUAAUUAAAGCAACUGCGAGUCAAGGUCCUUUUAAGUCGGGAAAAUGACUUGGGUGGUGUGAAUUCACACAUGAAACUUAAUUGGCAUAUUUGUCACUCGGCAAGCUCAAUGGACCCCUUUCAAAUUCACUUUAGAAUCUUUAUUUAUUCUUUAACCAAAGAUAAGGAUUUAAAUACAAAAAAUUCAGCCUCACGAAAGUUAUACAAAAAGCUAUUAAUGAAAUACAUUCAAGAUUAACAAUCACAUUGAUCAAUCAAAUACAUGCCUUAUUUCAUAAGUUCUGAUAUGGAAAUUUCUUCAACAACAGGUUUUCCCAAUGGUGAUUUCCCUGUGAGAAAUUCUUGAGAUACGCGUUGCAUGGUAGGUCGAGACUUGGGUUUUGACUGCAAGCAUGCAAAUGCAACUAUUGAAACAAGAAUAAUAUCAUGAACAACCUUUCGAUCAAGUGGAGAUGGCAGACGUUGGUCUAAAAUAUUGAUCAACCUAAUCUUUCGUUCAGAUGAUGACGAAACAGAUGAAAGAAGAUCUCCUGGAUGACUUCCCAUUAAUACUUCUAGUGCCACCAUUCCAAAGCUAUAAACAUCACAUUUCUCUGUCACAGCCAUGGUGUAUGCAAGUUCUACAACAAAAUAGAACCCAUUGUAGAAUUUCUUUGCACAAGUAAAAAACAAAAUAAAUAUAUAUUUGAUUCACUGUUUCUGGAAGCUUCUGCAGCAAGAUAUUUAAGAGAUAUCUAAUUGAUUUUUAAAUACAUUCAAUGUAUAAACAUGAGUAAGAAGCAUGAAAAGAAUAGCUAAAGUUUACCUGGAGCAAUAUAUCCAUAUGUCCCCACCACUAGAGUUCUGUUGGAGGAAUCUGGAUGCAGGAGCCUAGCCAAACCAAAAUCAGCAACAAAUGCCUCUAGGUUUGAGUUAAGUAGAAUGUUAUUGGUGGAUAUGUCGCGGUGAACAAUGGAUGGCUUGCAGUCAUAAUGCAGGUAAGACAAAGCAUGAGCCAUACUCUUUACAAUGUUCACUCUCUUUGUCCAAUCCAACUCAACUGCUUCAACAUCAUUGCGUAACACACAGAACAAGCUUCCCCUCUCCAUGUACUCAUAGAUCAAAAACAUGCACUUGUUGUGCAAACAAAAACCAUUAAGCUUCACUAUAUUACGAUGCCGUAUUUGGGAGAGUAGACGAGCUUCAGUUUGGAAACUUUCCAGGAAAGCUGGCUCCUCUGUCUCCGAACGGUGAAGUUUCUUCAAAGCGACUACUUUUCCACUGGACAAUUGUGCUCUGUAAACACUGCCAUAACCUCCGGUUCCAAUGCAAUAUUUGAUGUGGAAAUCCUCUGUCGCUUGAAUCAUCUCUUCAAAUGUAAUUCUACCAUCAUAAUUCCAUAUGGAGAACUCAUUAGCGCCCUCGGUCAUUUCUCGGGUAUUAGGAUUAAUUUUCUUAUCCUUUCGUCUAUGGACAAACAAGAUACAAAAAAUUAAGAUUGAGAAAAUAAAUGCCACCAUAGCAAGAAUGAUUGUGACCAAGCGAGUGACGAUCUUUCGUUGCUUCCCUUUGUUGCCUUUGAACGGUUUUGCUUGGGGUGGCGGUGCAUUUUCUGAACUAGUUGAGUUUUCUAACUCUAGAUUAUUUUCUGACACUAUCAAUUUGGGAAUUCUUCUGACAGAUGCAGGGACAACGCCGGAGAGGUUAUUCUUGGAAAGAUCCACGGCAGAAAUGUUUGGAAUAUUUCCGAGUUGUGAAGGUAUCGUGCCAUUUAUGAAGUUAUGGCUUAAAUCAAGUUGUCUCAGAUGUGUAAGGUUGCCUAUCUCCGACGGAAAUAUUCCGCUUAAAGUGUUGUGGCUUAAUACCAAGUUCUGUAACUGCGAGCAAUUCAUGAGUUCUGGAGGAAUGGAGCUGCUGAGCUGAUUAUAACCAAGAUUCAAAGAGGUGAGGUUGGUUAAAUAACCAAUUGUUGGAGGAAUGGGUCCAAUUAGAUUGUUCCCGUCAAGAGACCGAGAAUCAAGAUACUUCAGAUUUCCAACUUCCCGAGGCAGCAGACCACUAAGUUGGUUUG